rnacentral:rRNA from 1 species
UACGUAGGGUGCGAGCGUUGUCCGGAAUUAUUGGGCGUAAAGGGCUCGUAGGCGGUCUGUUGCGUCGGGAGUGAAAACUCAGGGCUUAACCCUGAGCCUGCUUCCGAUACGGGCAGACUAGAGGUAUGCAGGGGAGAACGGAAUUCCUGGUGUAGCGGUGAAAUGCGCAGAUAUCAGGAGGAACACCGGUGGCGAAGGCGGGUCUCUGGGCAGUUACUGACGCUGAGGAGCGAAAGCGUGGGGAGCGAACAGG